GCUUCCUUAGCUCAGUUGGUUAGAGCUUCGUACUAAUACUACUCGCCAGAGCAAGUCUCAGUAAUGCGAAGGUCGCAGGUUCAAGCCCUGCAGGGAGCA
rfam:Torrubiella hemipterigena genome assembly, contig: SCAF2